rnacentral:tRNA from 1 species
AACUUAAGUAGUUUAUUUAGAAUAAUAAUUUGUGGGGUUAUAGGUGUAUUUUAUCUUAAGUUU